rnacentral:rRNA from 1 species
CAGCAGCCGCGGUAAUACCGAGGGUGCGAGCGUUAAUCGGAUUUACUGGGCGUAAAGCGUGCGUAGGCGGCUUUUUAAGUCGGAUGUGAAAUCCCUGAGCUUAACUUAGGAAUUGCAUUCGAUACUGGGAAGCUAGAGUAUGGGAGAGGAUGGUAGAAUUCCAGGUGUAGCGGUGAAAUGCGUAGAGAUCUGGAGGAAUACCGAUGGCGAAGGCAGCCAUCUGGCCUAAUACUGACGCUGAGGUACGAAAGCAUGGGGAGCAAACAGGAUUAGAUACCCCGGUAGUCCCUGUCUCUUAUAC